UACAGAGGGUGCGAGCGUUAAUCGGAAUUACUGGGCGUAAAGCGCACGUAGGCGGGAUGGCAAGUCAGUCGUGAAAUCUCUCGGCUCAACCGAGAAACGUCGGCUGAUACUGCCGUUCUUGAGGGAUGCAGAGGAGACUGGAAUUCCCGGUGUAGCGGUGAAAUGUGUAGAGAUCGGGAGGAACACCGGUGGCGAAGGCGGGUCUCUGGGCAUUUCCUGACGCUGAGGCGCGAAAGCGUGGGGAGCAAACGGG
rnacentral:rRNA from 1 species